rnacentral:rRNA from 1 species
GGUUGAUCCUGCCAGUAGUCAUAUGCUUGUCUCAAAGAUUAAGCCAUGCAAGUCUAAGUAUAAGCAUUUAUACUGUGAAACUGCGGAAAGCUCAUUAUAUCAGUUAUAGUUUAUUUGAUGGUACACCCACUACAUGGAUAACCGUAGUAAUUCUAGAGCUAAUACAUGCCCAGGUGCGGCGACUUUUUGGAGCCGUGGACUUAUUAGAUCAAGAGCCAACCCUGCUUGCAGGACUGAGCUGAAUCAUAGUAAUUUUGCUAAUCGCAGAGGUCUUGUACCGGCGAUGGGUCAUU